CGCGCUCCGGCUUGGCAUGACUUUUGGCUUGGUUUCUUCCGCUAAGCCGGCCAGUUUCUUCUGCCGAGCCGUCUGCUGCGCAGAUUCACAUUGGGGAAGUGAUAAACAGUUCGCUAUUAGGGAGCCAGUAUAUUUCUGGACCCACGAGGAACGUGAGUUUUGCUUCCUUCGACUGCAAAGCAUUUGCUAGGCAAGUACAGACUUCCUGGUGUGAUUCGUGUUCUGUGCUGCGUGCCGAGAAUGCGUGAGCGUUUUGCUCCCGUUUGCAAGAACACUUCAGCAUGCAGUUCCAAUGUUUCAAACCACAAUUUUCCGAAAGGCGAAAGAGAAAUCUAUUGACUGCAACAAUCGGUUACAACUCCGACUGGGUGCCACAUUCGAAAGCAGCGAUUUGAUCUGUUCAUCUGGUUCAUACGAAUGUUACGGAAGCAAUACGCAACUUGUUUCACAAGAAGCCGAAGAUGUCUCGUCCGGGAUGCUGUGCCAACCUUAUCUGCAGCAGGAGAUUGCAGGGGCAGGACUAGGCAGCAGAUAAAGGCAUUCUGGCACCACCGAAAAGCUUGCACUCCACGUCUCAACUAUCACCGUCUGGGUUUCAAGCUGAAGGCUGUCACCAGUGCCAACCAGACGCCCCUUCAAAGUUCAUCUGUUUUUGUUGACGGAACAGUGACACCUGGUAAACCUGUCACGCAGAUGCCCUACCCCUUGGUAUGCAUAGUUCAAGAUUGUACCGAAACACCGAACAAUCCACCUGGAGCAUUAUUCAUCAAUUGGCAGUGGCAUUACUAUCACAACGCACCACAUACUGCAUGUCUGUGGUGUACAAUGCAUCAAACCUAUUUUCAGGUACAGGCCAGCUGGUACGCAAUUACAACAUGAAACAACUGACACAGAGACCGUAAAGUCAUGCCUUUUCCUCUGCGCCUCGGGUUUCAUGUUAUUAUCCUCACAUGCAGCUCCAUUCGCCUUGCUGUGCAGCAUGAGCAAAAGCAUAUAUUGUUUGUGGUCACAUGACACGGAACAUAAAUACAGUGAAACCUUCCUAUGUUGGACACCCGCGGUGCAGCCGCAGCGUCUCCUACUUAUAGAGGUGUCCGAGUUACAGAAUAUGACGGCAACAAAAAAUGGAAGAGAUCACAGCUGUGAGAAAUGUCCCCCUUCUUCAAUUUAAGGUCCUUAGUGGUACCUGGUGGUGGUGCCUGGUAGUGGUACCUCUACCCACUCUUCACUGAUAAUUAUUACUGAUUUUAGUAUAUUCAAUUCUGUUCGGAUUCUACUCAAUGGCAUUACCUCUGGAGCUUUUCGAGCAGCAAGGACUUGUCUCUGAAGCGUCAGCCCACUUCUCAUAGCUUUGGUGCAGUGCUCGUUCAAAGGCUCUAGACAAACUGAAGACAAGUGCUCACAUAAAGAAUUACAAUGUAGACUGACAGCACUUGUUUUUGGACUCUAAAUUAAACUAAAGCAACAAAAUGCUGAUACCAGUAUAGGGGAAAAAAGGGGCAAAAGUCAAGGCCACUGGCUCAUUUUGGGUCUUUUUGGUGCAAAGAUGGGCCGAUAUUGAGGUAAUUUGGUCAGGGUUUUGUCCGACUUUGCAGGGAAAACCCUAUCCUACUUCCAAGAUAGUGAUGUGUCCGACCAAGAGAAUUUCGUCCCCGUGUAGUUUCAAUAGGAGCCUGCCCGUGCAACGAAAUCAUGGGGGGUUGUCCGAGGUAGGGGGGUGUCCGACUUUGGAGGUUUUACUGUACUAUAGAGCAUUCUACAUCAUGCAAUCUAACAGUUGUUCACGUUUGGAUAUUUUAACCAUGGAAUUUACCCUGCAUGCACCAUACCAUGUCCAAACACAAACAACUGCUAGACAGCAGCAUGUACUGUUGCCGUAUAGCACUUAUGGCUUGCGUCCUGUGAUCGGAAACAGUGGUAUCUUUUUCUGCUACAAUCGGUAAACUACAGUAAAGAUUUAGAAAUGCUGUGUCAUACCAUAAAGCACUAUGAGAAAUGGCAGUUUGAAAAACUGGAGAAGACUGUCAUUAGAAUGGGGGACAUAAAUUUUUUGCAGUAUGUGCUGUACCACGUAAUGCACUGCAGGCCCACCACAGUAUGGUAACGCUCUGAAUACUGAUUUGCUCAAAAAAGGAACGUGUGCGUUUCUUGUACUAACUUCCCCGUAUGCAAAGUAAAAGAAAAAUGUUUUCAGCCAAUGGGGAGGGAGAGGACAUCGUUCUGGAGUCUCGUUGACCUACAGUGUGUCAUGUGUGAAGGUCAUUUUGAAGAGUGUAGGUUGUACAAGACUGUGUUCCCACAUUCUUGGCAGUGUUGACUAAUAACCAUAAUAAAGUAGAGGGUACAUUUCUUGCUUCAUAUAUUUGUGUCAUGGUAAAGUAUGUAGAGAUACAUCUGUCUCAACAUGCAGGUGCCAAAACUGCUUUUUGUGCCUAAAAUAUGACAAAUCGUUGUCUGCUCAACACCACUAAUCAUGUGCCGGCCUCCAUGACGUGUCUGUGACAUUCCAAAGUGAUUAACAUGUACCAUAGAUGUGUGCAAUGCUGAAGAUGACUGUGCACCUUCUAUGGAUUCUUGUUUCAAGAAAAGUACUCUGUGAUUUGUACCUUCACAAUUGUACAUAAAAAGUUUCCGGAAGGAAACAUCAUGAAGGUCCAUAGCGAAAAACCCUGAGACGAGGGAUAGGAAGGGAGAAGGGACAUACACAAUGUCUCAACAUAGCAUGUUUAUGUCCCUUCUUGUAUCUCCUCGUCAGGUCUCGCCAUCAUGGACACUAUCACCAGCUCGCUUGCUGUUGAACCGUUCUUUCAACGAUAAGGGUGACUUUCAUGGACUGGAUUGCAGCCAACAUGCUGUCAAUAAAAAGAAUAAUGGAAGGAGCUCAAUAUGAUCCUUAGGCUGUGUGUGGUCAUUGCUUUCUGACAAAUGGUGACUUAGAAUUUCAGGAGAGUGCCUGCAGUGGAUGGUGACUUAGAAUUUCAGGACAGUGCCUGCAGUGGUAGUAUUCUUGUGUUCUCACCCUUGACGCCCAUUGUGUGUCAUCGGUCACCUGUAAUCUGCUAAUAUGCACAUAGCUAAAACAAAGUAUAUGUGUAUUUCUUUGAAUACAGUUGGUACAGCACAUUGUUUUUUACAUGUUCUUUGGAAAAUAUAAAUAAAAAAAUUAUCUACUCUGCAAGUCUCCUGUCAGCUCUACUGAGCGGCUUCGAAUUUUACUAGAAGCCACGUGUGAAACCAAACUAGUGGUGAAAGUCCAUAUAGGUCAUAGAUAGAUACUAUUAUUAUUAUUAGAUCAUAGGUCAGGCUUAGGUCCUGAUUGGUAGCAAUGCAUUUGAAUCUUACUAAAAAUUGGUGCAGGAGGUGACCAACAUAACUAAAUACACCAACUGACCCUCACAAAUUUUGUGGUGUUAUACUUUUGAAACAACAUUAAUACGCUGCAGUGGUCUUUUCUCCUUUGUUCCUUUUAACCUAGAAAUAUUAGGUCUUCGGCAUCACCAGCCUUAGUUGCUGAGCAUGCAGUUAUUUACGCUGAGCACUGCAGUUUCAUAUUUGUUUCUCUCGACAAGCAAGCCCGCUUCCCCAUUUUGAUAAGAGUCUUUCAGCUUUGACAGGGCAUUUGUGAACAAGGAAAACAUUUAGACUAUUGCGUAUUUUGCUAUGAAGUGCACCGUACAAGGCAGAGGACACCAUCAACCAUUUCCACCAAGGUUAUUAAAUUUGUGAUAAAGUACAUAUACCUUUUGUCACUGACUAAUUUGGUGGCAAAGUUACUUGAGUGACAGUUGUGCAAUUUUAAGCACAUGUUUAAAAAAAAUAGGAUAUGGGAAGUGCUGACUGGUUGAACAUGUGGAGUACCCAAUAUAAUAAUUGGGGGUUUACGUCGCCAGACAACUGAGUGUGGAAUACACAGCACAGUGUAAUGUUCCUUAUUCUGGCAAUGUUAGCAUGGUUCAAGAAGUGGGAAAUGUUGCACUACCCUUAAUAACAUCUGUUGGGCCGAGCAAACAGGAUACACAUACCCUGAUCUGAAGACAGCAUGCCUAACUCAAAAGCAAUAUGAGAUCGACCCGUACGUGUUUAUUUGCGAAACUAUUAUGAAUGAAAUAUGACCUGUGUGGUAUAGAACAAUGCGCACACUCAAGUAAACAUGCAAAAAAUACGUAUAAGGGCUCUCGACCUACAUGCCGCGAUGCGCUCUACGUGAUAAACAACACACUACAAAACUACAUCCAACACUUUUUGUGCGGGGCAACUCUAAUGAGCACUUUCAUAUAACCGACGAAUGGUUCAACGAAUGCAGUUCGAGUGGUCACGAUACAUUCCUACGUCGUUCAUUGCAGU